AGGGAGGCGAGGAUGCGCUCUGUGCUCCAACAAGGGCACGCCCAGGUCCUCCUCCAAUGGACCUCAGGCGGCCAGAUCUGUGCUGGAGGCUGUCCUCGCCCGGCCAGCCGGUGCUCCCUGGCUCCCGGGCCCUGUGCUCUGAGGCCAGGGCUCUAAUGGCGGUAGACGCCUCACGGCUCUCACUGGGACUCAGAUUCCUCCCGCGCUCAAAGGUCUGGCUCUGAGUCCCAGUCGCCACCCGCUCACGAAGUGAUCUUGGACGAUCCAUCUUCCCUCUCCGGGCCUCAGUUUCCCCACGUCUAAAGUGAGCGAGGCUGCCGGGGCGUGGCCAGUCCUCCCAGUGCCACCCCGGCCUUGGCUCACAUUGCAGAAUUCUGGGAGGAACCGUUUUGAGUUUGCGACCUGGAGAAGAGAAACUGAGACCCUACGGAUGGGAAGACCGAGGCCAGAGGACGGGGACUGGCCAGGCCCUUCUCCGCUGGAACCUCUUGGCUUUAGCAGCAACUCUGUGAAAGGGCGGUGGUGUGCCAUUUCUCAGAUGAGGAAACAGGCACCAAGAGGUUUGCUGACUUGGCAACUGGCAAAGAAAAGAGAGGAACCGGGGACUGACUCCGGAGCUCGCCCACGCCAGCUUUCCAUCCCCCCGGCUCCUGCAGGCAAGACGUCGCCCAGCCCCGGGAGCCCACGAAUCUCUGGCUUCCUCUAUGGGCGCCCCCAC
rnacentral:lncRNA from 1 species